ACUUUCAAGAAGUAAAUUGCAUAUUUAAAACAUAUAUAAAUUUUUAAUGCAUCCAUUGACUAGUAUUCAACAACUUAGGAUAAAAUCCUAUCAAAUUCUAAAAAUUUUAUUAUAAUUUUCUCAUGUAUUUACUAUAUAAAUGUUAUUUUUUAAAUUAUUUAUUUAUAUAGCAGUUUACUGGAGAUUUGGCUGUACAACAUGACCAAUACCAGUAUCAGUAGCAGUUCCAGAAGUACCUAAUGAUAGUUCCUACUUAAAGUUCUGAUGUUGAAUCAAGAACAAUAGAAAUUUGAUAUGGAAAUGACUAAUGCUAUUUGAAUAUGUAGAUACUGUAUACUAAGUGCAAUUGCCGAAAUGUUUACAAAAUGGAGUUAGAAAAGGACUUUUGUAUAUACAUAAACUAUUUACAAAUGCCAUAAUUUAACUUAUCUACUUUAUAAAGAUUUUACACUAUGCCAUAUUAGCAUCAAUGUAUGAAGGAGGAAUCACCAGAAAAUGAUUAUGAAUCAUAAUGUUAAAUAAUGAAUCAACACUGAAAAUAUUGCAAGAUAUGUUACAAUGUUAUGCUCAUAAAUGAGAG